CGAAUGGCUCAUUAUAUAAGUUAUCGUUUAUUUGAUAGUACCUUACUACUUGGAUAACCGUGGUAAUUCUAGAGCUAAUACAUGCUAAAAAUCCCGACUUCGGAAGGGAUGUAUUUAUUAGAUUAAAAACCAAUGCCCUCUGGGCUCUCUGGUGAUUCAUAAUAACUUCUCGAAUCGCAUGGCCUUGCGCCGGCGAUGGUUCAUUCAAAUUUCUUCCCUAUCAACUUUCGAUGUUUGGGUAGUGGCCAAACAUGGUUGCAACGGGUAACGGAGGGUUAGGGCUCGACCCCGGAGAAGGAGCCUGAGAAACGGCUACUACAUCCAAGGAAGGCAGCAGGCGCGCAAAUUACCCAAUCCCGAUUCGGGGAGGUAGUGACAAUAAAUACUGAUACAGGGCUCUUUUGGGUCUUGUAAUUGGAAUGAGUACAAUUUAAAUCCCUUAACGAGGAACAAUUGGAGGGCAAGUCUGGUGCCAGCAGCCGCGGUAAUUCCAGCUCCAAUAGCGUAUAUUAAAGUUGUUGUGGUUAAAAAGCUCGUAGUUGAACCUUGGGCCUGGCUGGCCGGUCCGCCUCACCGCGUGUACUGGUCCGGCCGGGCCUUUCCCUCUGCGGAACCCCAUGCCCUUCACUGGGUGUGGCGGGGAAGCAGGACUUUUACUUUGAAAAAAUUAGAGUGCUCCAGGCAGGCCUAUGCUCGAAUACAUUAGCAUGGAAUAAUGAAAUAGGACGUGCGGUUCUAUUUUGUUGGUUUCUAGGACCGCCGUAAUGAUUAAUAGGGACAGUCGGGGGCAUCAGUAUUCAAUUGUCAGAGGUGAAAUUCUUGGAUUUAUUGAAGACUAACUACUGCGAAAGCAUUUGCCAAGGAUGUUUUCAUUAAUCAGGAACGAAAGUUAGGGGAUCGAAGACGAUCAGAUACCGUCGUAGUCUUAACCAUAAACUAUGCCGACUAGGGAUCGGACGAUGUUAUUUUUUGACUCGUUCGGCACCUUACGAGAAAUCAAAGUG
rnacentral:rRNA from 1 species